rnacentral:piRNA from 1 species
AAGGCCUAGGAAGAGUUGUGUAAU